rnacentral:piRNA from 1 species
UGGUCCUCAGCUUCAUCUGGAGAGCGGC